rnacentral:rRNA from 1 species
CUAGCGUUGCUCGGAAUCACUGGGCGUAAAGCGCACGUAGGCGGAUUGCUAAGUCAGGGGUGAAAUCCUGGAGCUCAACUCCAGAACUGCCUUUGAUACUGGUGAUCUUGAGUCCGGGAGAGGUGAGUGGAACUGCGAGUGUAGAGGUGAAAUUCGUAGAUAUUCGCAAGAACACCAGUGGCGAAGGCGGCUCACUGGCCCGGUACUGACGCUGAGGUGCGAAAGCGUGGGGAGCAAACAGG